CGAAGCACGGUGCAUAGCCUCAAAAAUUAGUGCAGCACCUCACGAAAUUUAAAUUCAAUUUGCAGAUUAUUCAGAUUACAGACAGUGGAACUGUGUCUGUAGCUGCAAAGCAGGAGCAGGAGGGAAAUGUAAGCACAUAGUUGCCACCCUACUGUAUGUUUACAAUGCUCAGAAUAUAGGCCUUCUUAGUUGCACCGAUGUUCCCCAGACAUGGGGCAAACGGAAGCGGGAAGAACUAGUAGAAGUUGUUCCUGUGGAACAAUUUUGCCAUGUUAAGUCAUCGGAGCAUUCCAAAUGUGAUAUGGCAGGAAUUAUUCCAGAAGAUUUCGUACAAAAGUGCUUUGAAGUUCUCCCGAAUUCUGGAGCUGCCAUGCUGUUCAAGGAGACUAUUAAUCCUGAAGAUAGGUCUAGGUUGUAUCAAAUAAUUGUUAUAAAUGGCAUCAUCAAGCCUUAGCAAUUGUUAAUGAUAUAAACACAUCUUUAUUUAAAAGUUUUUGCAGCUGCUGUUUUUUUCUCU